rnacentral:tRNA from 1 species
GGGGUUGUGGCUCAGCGGUAGAGCGCUAGCCUAGCUAGCUAGCACAGGCGGACGGAGGUUCGAUCCUCAGCACCA